UGGAGGUGCUGGGGAUUGAACCCAGGGCCUCGUGCAUGCUAAGCACGCGCUCUACCACUGAGCUACACCCCC
rnacentral:tRNA from 1 species